UACGGGGGGGGCAAGCGUUGUUCGGAAUUACUGGGCGUAAAGGGCUCGUAGGUGGCCAACUAAGUCAGACGUGAAAUCCCUCGGCUUAACCGGGGAACUGCGUCUGAUACUGGAUGGCUUGAGUUCGGGAGAGGGAUGCGGAAUUCCAGGUGUAGCGGUGAAAUGCGCAGAUAUCAGGAAGAACACCAAUGGCGAAGGCAGCUCUCUGGGACGGUACUGACGCUGAGACGCGAAAGCGUGGGGAGCGAACAGG
rnacentral:rRNA from 1 species